AUGGAGCUGUGCCUAGGGGUGGAUGAAGAGCGAGUGGAGAGCUUGUGGGUAAGGAUUCAAGGGCAGGCUAGCAUGGGUGACCGUGUUGUGGGUGUUUACUACAGGCCAGCUGAUCRGGAAGAGGAAGUCGCUGAGGCCUUCUCCAGACAACUGGAAGUAGCCUCACAAUCCCAGGCCCUGGUUCUCAUGGGGGACUUGAAGCACCCUGAUAUCUGCUGGAGAGACAGCACAGCUAGGCUCAAAGAGUCCCGGAGGUUCCUGCAGAGCAUUGGUGACAACUUCUUGACACAGGUGUUGGAGGAGCCAAGGAGGAGAGGUGUGCUGCUGGACCUCGUACUAACAAACAAAGAAGGACUGGUGGAAGAUGUGAAGGUCGGGGGCAGCCUUGGCUGCAGUGACCAUGAGAUGGUGGAGUUCAGGAUCCUGCGAGGAGGAGGCAGGGCACUAAGUAGGAUCGCAACCCUGGACUUGAAGAGAGCAAACUUUGGCCUCUUCAGGGACCUACUUGGAGGAAUCCCAUGGGUUAGGGCCCUAGAAGGAAGGGGCGUUCAAGAGAUCUGGUUAAUAUUCAAACAUCACUUCCUCCAAGCUCAAGAUCGGUGCAUCCCUGUGAGUAGGAAGUCAAGCAAAGGGGACAGGAGACCUGUGUGGACGAGCAAGGAGCUCCUGGCAAAACUCAACCAGAAGAAGGAAGUAUACAGGAAGUGGAAAGGGGGACAGGCCACUUGGGAGGAAUAUAGGAACGCUGUCAGAGUAUGCAGGGAUGCGACGAGGAAGGCUAAGGCCCGUUUGGAAUUAAAUCUGGCGAGAGAUGUCAAGGACAGCAAGAAGGGCUUCUUCAAAUACCUCAGUAGCAAGAGGAAGACUAGGGAAAAUGUGGGCCCUUUGCUGAAUGGGGUGGGUGCCCUGGUGACGAAGGAUGCAGAGAAGGCAGAGUUCCUGAUGCCGCCUUUGCUUCAGUCUUUACUGCUCAGGCCAGCCCUCAGGAACCGCAGACCCUGGAGGCAAGACAGAAAGUCUGGAGAAAGGAAGACUUUCCCUUGGUUGAGGAGGAUGGGGUUAGAGAUCAUUUAG
rnacentral:lncRNA from 1 species